AGCUUUGCGCAGUGGCAGUAUCGUAGCCAAUGAGGUUUAUUUGAGGUGUGAUUAUUGCUAAUUGAAAACUUUUCCCAAUACCCCGCUGUGACGACUUCCAAUACAGUCGGCACUGGCAAUUUUUGACAGUCUCUAUGGAGA
ensembl:snRNA U4 U4 spliceosomal RNA